AGGAAGGCUGGGUGGACAUGUCACCCGCCAAUCCGGUCAGGUCCGAGAGGAAGCAGCCGCAGUGGACUGUUCAUGGGUCGUCCAGUCUUCCGCUA
rnacentral:SRP_RNA from 1 species